UCCAAAAGUACUUUUUUACACUCUUGACCUCGGAUCAGGUAGGGAUACCCG
rnacentral:rRNA from 1 species